rnacentral:rRNA from 1 species
AACGCGAAGAACCUUACCAAGGUUUGACAUGGCCGGAAAAGCAUCAGAGAUGGUGUGUCCUUCGGGGCCGGUCACAGGUGGUGCAUGGCUGUCGUCAGCUCGUGUCGUGAGAUGUUGGGUUAAGUCCCGCAACGAGCGCAACCCUCGUCCUAUGUUGCCAGCGGGUCAUGCCGGGGACUCAUGGGAGACUGCCGGGGUCAACUCGGAGGAAGGUGGGGAUGACGUCAAGUCAUCAUGCCCCUUAUGUCUUGGGCUGCAAACAUGCUACAAUGGCCGGUACAGAGGGCUGCGAGACCGUGAGGUUAAGCGAAUCCCGGAAAGCCGGUCUCAGUUCGGAUCGGGGUCUGCAACUCGGCCCCGUGAAGCUGGAGUCGCUAGUAAUCGCGGAUCAGCAACGCCGCGGUGAAUACGUUCCCGGGCCUUGUACACACCGCUAGUC